rnacentral:rRNA from 1 species
AUUGAACGCUAGCGGGAUGCCUUACACAUGCCAGUCGAACGGAUUGGCGAACGGGUGAGUAAUGUAUCGGAACGUGCCCAUUCGCGGGGGAUAACUACGCGAAAGCGUAGCUUAUACCGCAUACUCUUGGAGCGGCCGAUAUGGGAUUAGCUAGUUGGUGGGGUAACGGCUCACCAAGGCGACGAUCCGUAGCUGGUUUGAGAGGACGACCAGCCAAAAGGGGACUGAGACACGGACCAGAAUCCGACGGGAGGCAGCAGGGGGGAAGAUGGGACAAGGGGGGAAACACUGAUAGAGCCAUCCGGCGUGAGCGAAGAAGGCGUGCGGGUAGUAAAGCACUGUUGGCAGGAAAGCGGUACCUGAAGAAUAAGCACCGGCUAACUACGUGCCAGAAGCCGCGGUAAUUC